AAUUUCAGUCUUCCUCCACUCUUCCCUGGCCGUGAAGACCGAAGCCCACGACCGUUGUCUAGCGUUUCUCUCGGCGCACUUGUCACCGUCGCCACCUCGCAGGCUCGUAUCCCUCUCUGUUUUCCUUCAGAUCUGAUAUUCUCACCGUUCCCACCGUCAUCCACGUUCCUAUUGAGCUCGGCAAAACCCAUUUUUAGCCAAAUUUUUAUCGAGUGAGCUCAAAAUGCCCCCUGCAGCAGUUUCAGUAGUGCAACAGUAAAUUUGCCUCUUGUCAGACAAAUUUAUUUGUUUUGUCUCUGCGAUUUGGUGUUGAUUUGUGUUUUGUUUUUAGUUUUGGUUGAUUGGGUGAGAGCUGGUGCUUCUAGAUCUAAGUUUGGUUGACACUGCGUUGCUGCUCUGCACAUCAAGCUCCGAGCUAUCGGUGGAAACAAGACAAAAACACCUGGUCCGGGGGCACAGUCUGCAAAAUCUAGGGCUUUUUUCAUCAGAAUCAUUUGAGGCCAUUGAAGGCAGGUUGUAUGAUCAUCAUGGCAAGUGCAACCUCGAUCUGGAAUUUGUGAAAUACUCGUGGAGAUUCAAAGUCAAUAUAGAUUAUUAUAGGGUUUACAAAAGCCCACAAUCCAACAGCUUCGGCAGCAUUUGAAAGAGGAAAAUUUUAUUAUCAUGGAAAAGUUGCUUAAACUAAAGGCAUGCUCUUCUCUGUCCCAAUCUAAAGGAAGAUUUGUAGAGAGUAGCGACAAAAUCAGCAAUCUUCCGAUCCAUAUUGUUCAUCACAUCCUCUCAUUUCUUAUGAUGGAAGAUAUUGCACGAUUGAGCAUGGUGUCCAAGUGGUGGCAAGAAUUAUGCAUAUCUAUUCCGUCCUUGACCCUUGAUGGCAUGCGAUAUCGAGGCAAGGAUUAUAAACUAAUUCACUUUAAGAAUUUUCUUGACAGGUUGAUGCUUCGACGCAAUGGAAUGAAGAUGACGCAGUUUUGCGUUCGCUGGACUUUUCUUAGUUGGCAUUCCGAAGAAUAUCGUUUUCUCACAUGGUUGCAAGAUGCAGUAAGGUGUAAUGUUGAAGUGCUUUAUCUUGACCUCUAUAUAUUUCUUCCAGGAGCUUUUCAAAUGCCACUUUGUGUUUUGAAUUGUGAAUCGUUGAGGUUUCUAACUGUGAGUUUGUACGGAGGGGUUCUCCAACUGCCAUCCUCAAGUGUGUUCACGAAGCUUCAAUCGUUAUCACUAACACGUGUUCGAGUUCUUGACGAGCUUUUUGUGGAACGGAUCUUGUCUUCCUGCAACUCCCUUGAUAAGUUAUGCCUUGAUGACGUUAAUGGGAUUAAUAACAUUAACAUCCGGUCCUCAUCUCUAAAAUAUCUAGAAAUUAGGAGUUAUGAACAUAAUGACCUCUUCCAUCUUAAUGUCUCUGGGGAGCUACUUGAGGAAUUGAUAGUACGCUGGAAAUUUACUCCCUCUGGUGGCAGAUCACUAAAAAUGACUACUCCCCAUCUCAAAUGUUUUACAUGGGGCGGAUUUGCUUCAGAUAACUGUUUUUUGGGGAAUUUAAAGUGUUUACGUUCUUGUGCAUUAAGUCUUGAACAGCUUUCUAGCUCAUGGAGGCCCCCGUACUUGGAGUUUUUCCACAUUCUAGAACGGAUUGAAGAACUAGUGCUACAUGUGCAGUGUCUUAAGGCACUAUUUAAGGCAGGCAUGAUGCCGAUUCCUUUGAAGCAUUUACAUACUUUGCAUAUAAACUUUAUCUCGUCAGAUGGUAUUGAUGCCGAUCUACUUCCAGCCAUAUCCUUACUUCUGGAAGGAGCUGUUAAGUUACAAUCCCGGUUCGAGGCAACUGGGAGGGAUUGGAUAAAAAUGUGGGAACGACAACAAAUGUGAAGCUUAUCCCGGAGAAAAGAAUAAGCGGGCGAUCCAUCUAAUUGAGAUACUCAGGUAGCUUAAUGUUGGAGUGAAUUCUUGGAGUCUAAAUUAGAAGUGGAGGUUUCAAUAAACAUAUCUUGGUGUUAGCUAUUUGUUUCUUUGGACCCUGUUUAUGUUGCUGGGGAAAUAGAUCUUAGAGAAGAAUUUGAAUUUCUAGUUUAUUGUAUUUGGCCACUACAGAGUAUUUUAAUGAGGUAGUAUGUUUAUUAUUAAGUUUUUUUUUUUUUGGUUUUAUUUAUAGCUUUAAUUGAGGUUUACAAAUGGUUUGUGGUAUGAAUAAUUGGUUCUUGG